rnacentral:rRNA from 2 species
UACAGAGGGUGCAAGCGUUAAUCGGAAUUACUGGGCGUAAAGCGCGCGUAGGUGGUUCAGCAAGUUGGAUGUGAAAGCCCCGGGCUCAACCUGGGAACUGCAUCCAAAACUACUGAGCUAGAGUACGGUAGAGGGUGGUGGAAUUUCCUGUGUAGCGGUGAAAUGCGUAGAUAUAGGAAGGAGCACCAGUGGCGAAGGCGACCACCUGGACUGAUACUGACACUGAGGUGCGAAAGCGUGGGGAGCAAAC